rnacentral:ncRNA from 1 species
AUAUCAGGGGUGCUGUUUUACGGCUGAGACGGAUUUUUCCGAACCCUUUAAACCUGAACGGAUAAUACCGGCGUAGGGAGAUAGCUU